CAGCCGCCGCGGUAAUACGUAGGGUGCAAGCGUUGUCCGGAAUUAUUGGGCGUAAAGAGCGUGUAGGCGGCUCGACAAGUCCGCUGUGAAAGUCCAGGGCUCAACCCUGGAAUGCCGGUGGAUACUGUCGAGCUAGAGUCCGGAAGGGGCGAGUGGAACUCCUGGUGUAGCGGUGAAAUGCGCAGAUAUCAGGAAGAACACCAAUGGCGAAGGCAGCUCGCUGGGACGUGACUGACGCUGAGACGCGAAAGCGUGGGGAGCGAACAGGAUUAGAGACCCCCGUAGUCCCUGUCUCUUAUAC
rnacentral:rRNA from 1 species